rnacentral:rRNA from 1 species
UACGGAGGGUGCGAGCGUUGUCCGGAAUCACUGGGCGUAAAGGGCGCGUAGGCGGCCUGAUAAGUAGGGGGUGAAAUCCUGCGGCUUAACCGCAGGGCUGCCUUCUAAACUGUCAGGCUAGAGCACGGUAGAGGCAGAUGGAAUUCCCGGUGUAGCGGUGGAAUGCGUAGAGAGUCGGGAAGAACAUCAGUGGCGAAGGCGGUCUGCUGGGCCGUUGCUGACGCUGAGGCGCGACAGCGUGGGGGAGCAAACAGG